rnacentral:lncRNA from 1 species
CCAAAACCCUGCAUUUUUUUGUUUUUGCCCUUGAAUCAGCAGCAGUGGGACCACCCAAGAAAGAGUUUGAAUCAGAGUCACUUCAGUGAGUCAAUCAAACUACUGCAAGUCACAGAAGCAGAGGAUCCAGCCCAGAGUGCUCAGCUGCUGUAGCAGCUUUCCCAAGGGUACAGACCCUGGGAUUAUCUGCUGCUCUUUGCUGUGCUGCUGCUCCUGGCUCACUCCCACCAGUGCCUGCAGCUCCAAGAGGAGUCAGUGCUGUUCACAUGGGGGACUUUGCCAGAAUAAAACUGGCCCUGCCACGAUUCUCCUCAUUCCCUCAGUGGGAAGAGGACUGGCCCAACUGCUGACAAAGUGUUAUGACCCAGCCCUGAAGGCGAAGGUAGCUGAGAACUACAGAGAUGAAUGACUGGAGUUGCCACAGGGCUAUAAAUCUCUUGGAUAACUGGUCUGGGACAUGCACAGACUGUGUGAGGUCCUUUCAAAAUCAAAACAGCAAAGAGAAAAAUCUGGAGAAGACAUCAUGAAGCAGCAAACCAGAGGGUCUUUUCUGAAAUAGGUAAAUGAACAUAUAUCUAAACUUUCUGAAGAAUCAAUGGUUGCUCCAACAGUAAGCAAGGAUGAGUCCUUUCCUCACCAGAUUUCUGUUUUAAAGGAUUGAGAGAAGGCUAACUGUAAGUACCAGACUCUACUGUUUUUUUUUUCUUCUCACUUUACUGUGAAAUUAUGCUGAAGCUAAUUGCCUCUCUGAGGCUAAUUGCCUCUGCUGCAUGUGGUUAAAAAAGAUUCAUCUUGGGUUUAGCUCAUGCUUUCUAUAAUUCCUUUAACACAGACUUCUCAUCCAAUUCUUCAGUGCUCUUUCUCUAGGGAAAUAGACAAAAACAACCCCAAAAUAAUUCGUCUGCAGCCUAUUUGAGUUUCUUAGGGUAUCAACCAGUCUUUGGAGGUGCUCCUUUGCUACUUUGGAGAGAUUAAGAGUAGUGUUCCCAACAUGAUAUAUAUUGUGCUGUGAUCUGUUUCAUGUGCCUCAAAAGAUACAGCUGGAAAGUAGAUGGCUCAGAAAACUCAUCUGUGAGGCAAAGAUUCAGCUUUUCAGAGUGAAACUCCAGCAUCUCAAUUCAUCAAACACAUAUUUUGUGUAGGCCACCAUCAAAUUUUAGAUGGUUUGUGGCUGCAUUUUGGAUCUAUUUUGCCAUGACCAGUUACAUUGGAAUUCAGUUAGGAUUAGUCACACCACCUCUCCCAGUAGAAAAAUAGUCCUACUGAAACCUUUUACCAGCACUCUUCCAGUUCACACGAGCUACCUGACUGCAGAACUGUGACCUGUGUUUCUGUGAGCAAUACAUUUCUGGUUUGCUUUUGUUAGGCUUUUGAUUUUUUUUUGUUUGCAGGCAGAUGUUUAAGAGACA